rnacentral:misc_RNA from 1 species
AAGGGAUGAUUAAAUUAAAUUUUGUACAUGAUAACCUAAUACUGCUGAUUGAACAAAUGAGCUAGUUAGGGCAAAAUAUAUGGAUCCAAGGCUGAUGAUUGUAGAAAAUUUAAUUUAAUCAUCCCUUAGCUUAGAGCGCAUGAGGGUACAUCAUUUUCUUCCUUUUGUUGUUGCAGUGACGUUAGACGCACGACUAGUAUGUCUAAGGCUUCUUUCAUCCACCAAUGCCUACAAGCAUCUUUGGC